rnacentral:rRNA from 1 species
UAGUCCACGCCGUAAACGAUGGAUACUAGCUGUUCGAUCAACAUUGGUUGGUUGAGUGGCUAAGCGAAAGUGAUAAGUAUCCCGCCUGGGGAGUACGACCGCAAGGUUGAAACUCAAAGGAAUUGACGGGGACCCGCACAAGCGGUGGAACAUGUGGUUUAAUUCGAUGCAACGCGAAGAACCUUACCUGGGCUUGACAUCUAGAGAAUCCUGGCGAAAGUUAGGAGUGCUUCUUUGAAGAGCUUUAAGACAGGUGGUGCACGGUUGUCGUCAGCUCGUGUCGUGAGAUGUUGGGUUAAGUCCCGCAACGAGCGCAACCCACGUCGUAUGUUGUUACGCGUCUUCGGAUGGCGAACCCUCAUGCGAGACUGCCGGUGACAAGCCGGAGGAAGGUGUGGGAUGACGUCAAAUCAUCAUGCCCCUUAUGUCCAGGGGCUACACACGUGUUACAAUGGGAGGGUACAGCGAGUCGCUUGCACGCGAGU